UACAGGGGGUGCAAACGUUGCUCGGAAUCAUUGGGCGUAAAGCGCACGUAGGCGGUUCGUUAUGUCGGAUGUGAAAGCCCUUGGCUUAACCGAGGAAGUGCAUCCGAAACUGGCGAGCUAGAGUACGAAAGAGGAUCGCGGAAUUCCCGGUGUAGAGGUGAAAUUCGUAGAUAUCAGGAGGAACACCGGUGGCGAAGGCGGCGAUCUGGGUCGAUACUGACGCUGAGGUGCGAAAGCGUGGGGAGCAAACAGG
rnacentral:rRNA from 1 species